rnacentral:tRNA from 1 species
UCAGCUGGAUAGCUCAGCUGGUUAAAGUGUGGUGCUGAUAAUGCCAAGGUUGCAGGUUCGAUUCCCAUAAGGGACAGCUGCA